UUGUAUUAGGUUGGUUUUUUUCUUAGAUUUUGGAUAAUUUUAUUGUAUUUUGGAUAAUCAGUUUGUGUUAAUCUGCUUGAGUUUGGAUAAUUCUACAUUAACUUGGUCUUCUUAUAAAGUUAAGGACAAUUUGGUGGUUGUUCCAUGUUUGGUGGAUAAUUUGUUUGCAUUUUGGAUGAUGUGAUAUUUCACUCUAUGAUGUUAUGGUUAC
rnacentral:lncRNA from 1 species